GAUGAACGCUGGCGGCGUGCCUAAUACAUGCAAGUCGAGCGAACAGACGAGGAGCUUGCUCCUCUGACGUUAGCGGCGGACGGGCGAGUAACACGUGGAUAACCUACCUAUAAGACGGGGAUAACUUCGGGAAACCGGAGCUAAUACCGGAUAAUAUAUUGAACCGCAUGGUUCAAUAGUGAAAGACGGUUUUGCUGUCACUUAUAGAUGGAUCCGCGCCGCAUUAGCUAGUUGGUAAGGUAACGGCCUACCAAGGCAACGAUGCGUAGCCGAUCUGAGAGGGUGAUCAGCCACACUGGAACUGAGACACGGUCCAGACUCCUACGGGAGGCAGCAGUAGGGAAUCUUCCGCAAUGGGCGAAAGCUUGACGGAGCAACGCCGCGUGAGUGAUGAAGGUCUUCGGAUCGUAAAACUCUGUUAUUAGGGAAGAACAAAUGUGUAAGUAACUAUGCACGUCUUGACGGUACCUAAUCAGAAAGCCACGGCUAACUACGUG
rnacentral:rRNA from 1 species